AGACUCCCGGCUCAAUGGAGGAGCGUCCAACUCAGAAGAAGCAACAGCUGCCAUUUAUUCCAACAUCCACGUACUUCCGUCUUGUCCUGACCCCUACAACACUCCAGCUACACAAAAAAAUACUCGCAGAUCGUCUGAAGUUGAGAUUAUCUACUCCACGGUGACAAUCAAACCCAGCGUCCGGAACAAAACAAGGCACAAAAACUCCUGGUCUAAAGGAAGAGAAGAUGACAGCUCUGUGAUCUACUCCUCGGUGGUCAAAUCCAGCUGAGCUGCUCACAUCUUCAUUUUAAUACAGUGACCUAAUUUGUUUCAGGAGAAACAAAGAUGGUGAAGGUCAGGCUGUACGAGCCCUCAGGAGCUCAGAAUAUCAGCAAGGCAGUUUUUUAUUUAUUUUAAUAUGUUUCCUGGCAGGAAAGGAGUUAUAUAGAUUAAGACUAGACAGAGUUAUUUAAGCGUAUCAUGUAGAUUUUGUCAGCUUUUGGGCAGAACAUAAAGCAGCUUAUGUCUACGUUUGUACUGCACUCCUGCAAAUUCAAGAAUCCUUAUUAGCCUUUAAUUGCUAAGCUAGUAGUAAAACACAAAGAUAGACAUAACAAAAACAUACACACUAAAAUCACAAUAUUUAAUGACAUUACUUAAAAAUCCAAUGGCUGUAGGGAGAAAUGAAUGUUUUAGUCAAUUAGUCUUGAAUCCUGACAGCAGACAUCCGUGUCUAGAUGGAAGCAGCUUGGAUUCAUCAUGCAGUGGGUGGGCUGGAUCUGCCAGGACCAGUUUGGCCUUUUUUCACUCCCCGCUCCUUAUGCAGGGCGGUGAGGUCGCUCAAGGAUGUACCAGCGAUGUUGCUGCACACCCUGACAAUUCCCAACAGUUUGUCUCUGUUUGUGCAAGUUAAAUGAUCAAACCAAAUGUUCAAGCUAAACAUUAAAUCCACAACAAUAGAAAUACAUUCGCCGAUGAGACGUCAGCCUGUCACGCAGAACAGGUCGCAGGUUUUUUAUACUGGUUCACAAUUUCAACAUUCUCACUGCAGAUGCCCAUGGGUAGGAUGAAGAAGCAGGUUCUUCUAAAAUCAUUAAAUAUUUCCUUUGUCUUAAAAACAUGUAUCUUUAAGAAGGACGACUGACGCCACUGGGCCAUGAUCAGGAUCGUCAUUAAUAAGAAGGGACGAUGUAGCUGAACUAAAUAUAAUGGUGCGCAUGCUGGCUGAGAUAACUAUUAAUAUGGGAAAUAAAUAAAAGGGGCCAAAGGACGGAGACCCAGCAGAGAGGACAUCAGAGAGAAGCCCAAUGACUUGCACCGUUAAAAAGUCCAUCAGCCAACAACAACAUAAAGCACCUCAUGUCUAUGUUUGUACUGCACUCCUGUUUCAGCUGUAAAUAUCAUAGAUCAACUAAAAAUAAAUAAUAUAUUUCUGUGUUUUUGAUUCACUUUUAUUUUCAUGAAACACUCAAAGCAGCAACUUGAAUUUUGCAAAGUGUCUAUAAGACCUCCAGUAAUGAAACGGCCGGUGUGUAUUGACUUUUAUGCCAAAUGUCAGCGAGCUUUCUGUGAAUGAGAAGCAAGCAGCAAAACAUUCUGUCUACUAAAGAACUCGUCAUCAUUCUCAGAGAACAACUAGUUUAACACAUUUGGUCUAAAAGUCUCAGCACACACAUAGCGAUAAUUUAAUUAUUUUUUGUAUUAGAUUGCGUAGCAAUAUUUUUUGACUGACAAGUAUAAAAAUUAAUGCAUGUUUUGGUA